UACGAAGGUCCCGAGCGUUAUUCGGAAUCACUGGGCGUAAAGGGAGCGUAGGCUGCGCGGUAAGUCAGAUGUGAAAUCUCAAGGCUCAACCUUGAAACUGCAUCCGAUACUGCCAGACUGGAGUAAUGGAGGGGCAGGUGGAAUUCUUGGUGUAGCAGUGAAAUGCGUGGAUAUCAAGAGGAAGACCAAUGGCGAAGGCA
rnacentral:rRNA from 1 species